AUUGAACGCUGGCGGCAUGCUUUACACAUGCAAGUCGAACGGUAACAGGCCGCAAGGUGCUGACGAGUGGCGAACGGGUGAGUAAUGCAUCGGAACGUGCCCAGUCGUGGGGGAUAACGCAGCGAAAGCUGUGCUAAUACCGCAUACGAUCUAUGGAUGAAAGCGGGGGACCGUAAGGCCUCGCGCGAUUGGAGCGUCCGAUGUCAGAUUAGGUAGUUGGUGGGGUAAAGGCCUACCAAGCCGACGAUCUGUAGCUGGUCUGAAAGGACGACCAGGCACACUGGGACUGAGAAACGGCACAGACGCCUACGGGAGGCAGCAGUGGGGAAUUUUGGACAAUGGGCGCAAGCCUGAUCCAGCAAUUGCGCGUGCAGGAAGAAGGCCUUCGGGUUGUAAACUGCUUUUGUACGGAACGAAACGGUCUGGGUUAAUACCCUGGGCUAAUGACGGUACCGUAAGAAUAAGCACCGGCUAACUACGUGCCAGCAGCCGCAGUAACAC
rnacentral:rRNA from 1 species